rnacentral:misc_RNA from 1 species
AAUUUACAGAGACAGAACGAUAACAUCAUAUAAUUGAACACAAGACGACGAUGUUAAAAAACAUAUAAAUAAUGAAUGUUUCAUCCAGGCAUUUACAGUAUACACAGACGAUCCAUGACAACAAACAAAGUAUUCGUUACUUUGUACCGUAUGCAACAGCAGCACGACAAACUACAAUAUUAUUUCUGGCACCUUGUAGAAGUAUAGAUUCCUC